ACCUCUCUCUGGUGUAUCAAUAACUGUAAGCCCCUUUUGCUCACAUUGGCUCCCAUUAGCAACUCCAUCCACCACCUUAACGUCAUCACUCCCACUUUCCUCAAGCUCUGCUUUUCCUUUCUUCUCAAUAACCACAGUUUUCUUAUCUUCUUCUUCUAAUUCUUCUCCAUCCACUUCUUCCUCUAGCUCUGGGAUCCCUUCCUCUUCCCUCACCACUCUGAAGUCAUCAUCAGAACUUCUCCUACAACCACUUAUAAUUUCUGUUCUCAUUGUAUCAAAUGGGUUAAAG
rnacentral:misc_RNA from 1 species